rnacentral:rRNA from 1 species
AGCGAACGCUGGCGGCAUGCUUAACACAUGCAAGUCGCACGGGCAGUAGCAAUACUGUCAGUGGCGGACGGGUGAGUAACGCGUAGGAAUCUAUCCUUGAAUGGGGGACAACCGUGGGAAACUACGGCUAAUACCGCAUGAUGCCUGAGGGCCAAAGACGAAAGUCGUUUGAGGAGGAGCCUGCGUCUGAUUAGGUAGUUGGUGGGGUAAAGGCCUACCAAGCCUGCGAUCAGUAGCUGGUCUGAGAGGAUGAUCAGCCACAUUGGGACUGAGACACGGCCCAAACUCCUAUGGGAGGCAGCAGUGGGGAAUAUUGGACAAUGGGCGCAAGCCUGAUCCAGCAAUGCCGCGUGGGUGAAGAAGGUCUUCGGAUUGUAAAGCCCUUUUGGCGGGGACGAUGAUGACGGUACCCGCAGAAUAAGCUCCGGCUAACUUCGUG